rnacentral:lncRNA from 10 species
GCUCCUGUUUUCCUAAUAGCAUGAACAGCCCCCCCGUCAGCUCCUACCCCUUGGUCUCUGACCUGUUCCUCCUCCGAGGUGACCUCUAUCCUGAAUUUUGAAAACAUAUUAGUAUUGCCUGUUUCUGGACUUUGUGCAGAUGAAGUCAUUGAAGAGGAAAUGUGGACUCAGGUGUGUAUGGAGGGAAGAUGUCUUGCAAGCCCAAGGAGAAGAUGGCCAUCUGAGCCCACGUCCUGGAACAGAGACUUCCCUCACAGCCUCAGAAAGAACCAGCCCUGCUGACGUCUUGAUCUCAGACCUCCAGCCUCCAGAACUGGGAGACGAUUCAGUCAGCAUCUACACAACACAGGGUUGAACUGUGCGGGUCCACUUCUAUGCAGAUUAUUUUCUUUUUUCUUUUUUGAGACAGAGUCUCGCCCGGUUGCUCAGGCUGAAGUGUAGUGGUGUGAUCUUGGCUUACUGCAGCUUCCACCUCCCAGGUGCAAGUGAUUCUCCUGCCUCAGCUUCCCAAGUAGCUGGGACUAUGGGUACUCGCCACCACACCUGGCUAAUUUUUGUAUUUUUAGUAGAGAUGGGGUUUCACCAUGUUGGUCAGGCUGGUCUUGAACUCCUGACCCCAAGUGAUCUGCCUGCCUUGGCCUCCCAGAUUGCUGGGAUUACAGGUGUGAGCCACCGUGCCCGGCCCUAUAUAACUCUUUGUGCAAGUUUUUACCCCUAAAAGAUAUCUGCCAUCUCAGCCAUGGAACAGACACUGUAAGAACAUGAAGGCUCAAGGGCAGGGCUGGCUACAUAAUUUGUGGGACCCAUUACAAAAUGAACAUGGAGAAAAAACUAGAAAAAAGUGUAGUACAAGGUACUAUAAUAGAUUUUUCCUUUGAAAACAGUUUAAUACUUAUAAAAUGUAAUAGAGGGAAAUAGUGACACGUGAGUAACAAAAUGGGCGUAUCAAUUGGUCUAUGCUAUUUUUGGUGUUAUAAUUUUACCUAAUAUAAUAAGCAGCAACACUUUGUUAGUGAGACGGGCUUUCACCAUGUUGGCCAGGCUGGUCUGGAACUCCUGACCUCAGGUGAUCCGCCUGCCUCAGCCUUCCAAAGUGCUGGGAUUACAGGUGUGAGCCUCUGCGCCCGGCUGUGAUGUCUUGAUUGAUCAUAGGAUUUUUCUGGCUAUUCUAGCUACUUCCAAUUCGCUUCAGCCAAUUUAGUUGAAGUUUUAUCACUUGUGACUUCAGAGUCCUGGUUAAUAUCCUGUUGCCCUCAGGACAUGCAGGAUGGAGGAAGGCACCAGGGAGCCGAGGGAAGUGAGCAGAGAGGCAGUCACUUCAGGGCCACCAGCAUAGCCCCCGUCACUGUCCACAGACACAGGCCCUUCCCCUUCUCAUGGUUGAGCAGGCUCCACCUCACUUCCGUGUAUGACUUCAUAGACCGUUAGGUUCCGUGGUACCCUGGAGUCCACAGCUGCUGAAUCUGAAGGGCCAUCAGAAGACUGGCUUCUCCAUGAUGGUUUAUGGACUAAGGCAAAGAUGAGCAGAGCCAUGGCCCUCUUCUUUGUUCUCUGCUGGAUCCAAGUAGAGAUGGGAUUUCAUCAUGUUGGCCAGGCUGGUCAUGAACUCCUGACCUCAAUGGAUCCUCCUGCCUCAGCUUCCUGAGUAGCUGGGACCACAGGUGCACACCACCACGCCCAGGUAAUUAAUUUUUAUUUUUUGUAGAGUCGGGGGUCUCCCUAUGUUUCCCAGGCUGGCCUCGAACUCCUGACCUCAAGUGAUCCUCCCACCUCAGCCUCCCCGAGUGCUGGGAUUAAAGACGUGAGCCACGGCACCUGGCCUGAAUUUUCCUCAAAUUCAAAAAAUCCUGAUGAAGGUUUGGCUAAAAUCUUUGGUGAGUUACCCCACUCCCUGUGGAACCUCAGGCUGGAUUUGAAGAGUUGCGUGCAUGGUCCUCAUUGUCUCCCAGGUAACCUGUUCCCGCUGCUGUGAAGGGAAGGCAGGUGCUCUUCCUUGAGGCUAGAAUCUGUCUACGUGUCACAGUCUCAGGAAAUUAAGCAAAACAGAUGAUAAACACCUCAAAAGGACCCUACUGAGCAUCAGUGGAGCAGAGCAGGGCCAUGUGGGACUGCGGCGUCAGAUGCCACCUCACACUAGCUGUGACACACCUGCCUCGCCAGUUUCUGCUCUGAGGCCCCAAAGCCGAGCUGAACCUCCUCCAGGGGUUCUCAGCCCUAACUGAGCAUGAAAACCCCUGGGGCAAUCCUCUUUUUAACAAUUGAGACAUUCCACACACACCCCACAUCAGAUUUUGGGGUGUGGGGAUAGACCUUCACAUUUGUAGUUUUCUAACCCUCCAGGGGACACUAGGCUGAGACUCAUUGGUCUCCACUCUGAACCUUCCACUGAACAUGUGAGAAAAACUAAGGCCCAGGGAAGUCUUUAGCAGAGAGCUGAGACGGAGAAAAGGGUUCUGAACCACAGCUGUCUGCUGAAGGAAGCUGUCCAAAGGCCAGUGAAGUCUCUCCUGAGGGUGCCUGGGCUGUGCAUCAGGAGUGAAGGUUGAGGGUCACCUUAGGUGUGAGAAGGAGCAACUGGGAGAGUGGCGCUGAUGCUUCCCCCCGGGUUAGGAGGCAUUUGGAUCACAGAGCGAUGCCUGUUCAUUCCUGCUUGCAAGGGAGCAGAUCUCUCGACACCCGAUGGGCCUCUAUUCCGUUCCGGCAGCUGUCCGUGUCAGGAGCGCUGGGCUUGCUCCUCCCCACGGGAGCCAUCACAGAGGCCUCGGGCAGUCUGCAUAGACAACUGCCUGGCAGGUGACCAGGAGGGGAUGCAUGAGCAGAUGCAGGUAGCACUCGCAGUCCCCCUAGCUGUGCCCUCAGCACCUGCUGUCUAGGAGGCAGAAGCCUUGUUCUCGGCCUUGCAGGUGACCCCAGUGUCUCUGAAUUCGGCCCCAUAUGUGUAGGAGGGGAGUGAUUGCAUCUGAAGAUGGGAGUCUGGUUGGGGGUUUGGGAAGCUCCCAUCACCCCUCAAGAGUCCACUGACCAGCCCAGCUCACACCAGGUGGGCCUUGGCACUGGAGGCCACGGCUCAACUCUGCAGUUCCCUCUGGGCAGCAUUUCCAGGGACUCGUAGGUCAGCAUGGUCAUCAAGGACAGGUGGUGAGAGCAGCUCCUCAUUGUCCUGGUGACCCCGAUGGUUCAUUUUCUGGUGUCUCUGUGGUGAGCUCCUGUUACAUCAAGCGAGUGGAAACCACCGAGGACCAACAGCCCUGGAAAUGCACUGAGAAUGCAGGAUGAGUGGGCUUUGUGAGGACUGUUUUCUGUGACUUAGCAAGGAAAGCCUGGAAGGGAAAGUAAAACUGCUUCUUCCCAGGGAAGCCAGAAACCUGAGAACUUAAAAGGGAAGGAGAACUUAAUAUAUUUCAAAAAUGUAACCCUUGUGAAUUAGCAACAGCUUUAUAAACAAAGAGAUUUCCGAGCUUAUAGAAUCUAUUCUGCUUUGUUUCUGCCCCCAUGGCUCCUACCCCUGUUUUUGUGGGUACAAUUUUCAUAUAGAACAUUUUUACACAAGCUUCAAAACUCUCUGAGGACAGCUUUCCCCUUUGUGUCUGUCGGGUCCCAGGCAGUCACAUCCCAGGAAGUGCUGGGGUUGGGCUCCUUGCUCCACAUCCUUCUUCAGUGGCACGAAGCGUGGGGUGGAGUGUGUGAGUCAUGUGUGAUCUUGGUGUGGGCUAUGGCUGGUCUGCAGCACCCCUUCAAUGACUGCUUCAAGGGCUUUUCAUGAUGCUUGUAGCUCAUGAGCUAGUGUUUCCUAGAUGCUGUUUCCAGGUGUCUUGCAUGUCACACACUGGCCUACCAGGGCUGGAGUGAGAUCAUGAGCGCCAGAUUGUUGGUGAAGGAAGUUGACAGAGACAUCGAAUGUCGGUGAACAGGAGUGACCUUGGGUCUCAAUAAAUACUGUGGUCAACUGAAUCCAGAACCCACCCUUACCAGCAGGGCCCACUUCUUCCCCAGCAGGCCGAGCUCUUCCCCUCCUGUCUUCCCUGGCCCUUGCUUUGUAGCUCUGUGUGGCUGUGUCAUGUCUGGUUGUAUCUGUAUAUACUUCUGCCUCUCCCGCUAUCUAGAUGGCUCGGGGAGGCACACCACACACCAGGUCACCUUCCUCUCUGAACCCCCAGCACCUCAUACUGUUUCUGUGCAGAGAUAAGGCUGGGUGAAAGCUUGUGUGAAUGAUCUGAAGUCUUCUACUCUAGGCCAGUCUCCAGGAGCAUUAUGAUCUUUAGGAGGGUGGGCUUGGUUCCUCUGUACAAUAAUGGGUCAUAAAACUGAGUGGUCAAGAUCAUCCCGGUGAGGGCAGUCCGUGUGUUGCCAUAGUUGCUGUACCGGUUAAGAAUGCACCUGGCUGCAAUUUCCUGAAAACCUGACGUAUAGUGGCUUAAACAAAGAGUGGUUUAUUUUCCUUCUGUCAUAGCAAUCUGGGGGAGGCCACUGUGGCUUUGGCGCAGGAGGUCGGGAAAGGCCCGCUUCUCUGAUAUCAUUGGGGGCCUCCCCAGUGCUUGUGUGGCAGAAUGACAAGAGGAAGAAGAAGGAGAAUUAUGGCACUGAGUAUCAUGAGAUUUGGGGUCAUAUAUCUUUAGUGGGCGGUGUUUGCUGCCCCAAAUGUCUCAUGCCAUUAAAAUGUUCUGGAAAUGAUUUAGGUAGUUGGAGUUUCCUUCCCAAAGACAAGGCAUUUACAGCAUGAUGUCCAAUAUCCAUUGAGUUUGUGUCAUGCAUUCAUUGUAUUCAUAGUCUGCUUUAGGUACUUAGCAAAAUAUUGCUGAUAUUAACAUGCCUUUGUUUGCUUCACUGGAGAUGAAAUUGUGCUCCAAGUGUUUUCCAAGGUUCCGUAUGACCCAUCAUUUGAUGAAACAAGAACAGCAGUCAGAUCCAUUACAAAGAGAGACACACAAAAAAACUAUGUGAAAAUGAGCUUAGCCCCUGGUGUUGUGUUGGAACUUCAGAUGCUUGCAGACACUUCAUGAAUGCUCUGUGACACUCAGAAUAGGCUAUUCCCAACAGAAGAGCUUGAACAAUGCUGCAUUUGCAUCAGGUUCAAAUGAGCGAGAGGAACAUUUGGCUAAAAUAUUUGGAACCAGCAUUGCUUGGAAUUCUCCUAAACCAGAAUAUUUCCUUGGCAGUGUGGACAAAAUUCCUGAUAAAGAGAUGGGGUUUCACUGUGUUAGCCAGGAUGGUCUCGAUCUCCUGACCUCAUGAUCCGCCCGCCUCGGCCUCCCAAAGUGCUGGGAUUACAGGCGUGAACCACCAUGCCCGGCCCAGAAUGUCCUUUCUUUUCGAAGCGGAGUAAUAUUCCAUUAUCACCUUUCAGAGGAGAAGAAUUUUAAAGAAUCCUGUCUGUUCGACAGGGAUUUAAGAGAGCAGUUAACUACUAUAGAUAAAGAAACACUUCAAGGAGCAGCUAAACCAGAUCUCCUCUGGCAAACACGACAUAUAAUAUUUUUAUAAUGGAUGGAAAGACAUGGUGGCACAAUUCUGAAGAAAAAAAUUUCACAAAACUUGCAAAAAAACAGAAACAGUUGAAGAGCAGCUCCUGUGUCUAAGCCAGGUCGUGGGGCCGUCAAACCAGGACUUGAAACCACAAUGCGAGGACAUUCUCCAUCUGCGCACCACAGGGAGGCAAUUCCAUUUCUGCCCGGGAGGUGUAUUCUACAAAAACGUCUGCUUCCCAUCCCAAUUUGAAUGGACCAAGAAAAACUGCUUUACCAUAGGACACUUGUGGCAAUAUGGCACCGAUGGCUGGCGUCGGUGAACCCGACAGACUAUGGAUUUAUCAUUUAAUAAAGCAUUGAUUCAUUUUUUCAGUCAUUCAUUGAACAGAUAUUAAUAGACCACCUCACAUGCUGACAAUAUCAAAAUACAAUGAGGAAACUAACAGUGACCCAGGCAUGCAUUCUUCCCCGAGCAAGAUCACAGUCCAUGGUGUGAGCACAACCAUACUAAAUAGCUUUUAUGGGAGGUGGGAGUACAGAAAGUAUUAUAUCUGCAAAGAAACUGCUAAGAAUUGUGGGAGCGCCCCAGGAGGUGAUUUCCUGCUUGCGUGACCAGCACAAAGAAAUGGGGUAAUUGAGAGUGUCAUGAAGUGGGGUUAUUUAUUUAUUGAGUC